rnacentral:ncRNA from 2 species
CCAAACCUUCGGGGCAGGGUGAAAUUCCCGAUCGGUGGUAUAGCCCACGAGCUAAGUGUCAUUCUGAGCGACUGUAAGGAGCGAAGAAUCUCAGGGUGACCAGCAGCAUGACCCGGCGCAAUUCCGGGGCCGACGGUUACAGUCCGGAUAGAAGAAGGUACGC